ACGUAGGUGGCAAGCGUUGUCCGGAUUUAUUGGGUUUAAAGGGUGCGUAGGCGGCUCUAUAAGUCAGUGCUGAAAUAUCCCGGCUUAACCGGGAGGGUGGCAUUGAUACUGUAGAGCUUGAGUCGAGUUGAGGUUGGCGGAAUUGACGGUGUAGCGGUGAAAUGCUUAGAUAUCGUCAAGAACACCGAUAGUGAAGACAGCUAACUAAGCUCAAACUGACGCUGAGGCACGAAAGUGUGGGGAUCAAACAGGA
rnacentral:rRNA from 1 species